rnacentral:rRNA from 1 species
UACGUAGGGACCGAGCGUUGUCCGGAAUCACUGGGCGUAAAGGGCGCGUAGGCGGAUCUUUAAGUCAGGGGUGAAAUCCUGGAGCUCAACUCCAGAACUGCCUUUGAUACUGGGGAUCUCGAGUCCGGAAGAGGUGAGUGGAACUCCGAGUGUAGAGGUGAAAAUUCGUAGAUAUUCGGAAGAACACCAGUGGCGAAGGCGGCUCACUGGUCCGGUACUGACGCUGAGGUGCGAAAGCGUGGGGAGCAAACAGGG